UUCCUCCCUCCCUACCCAUCCACUUUCCUUUCUCCCUCUCUCUCUCGCAUGCUCUCUGCUAUCCCGAACGGCUGCCCUCCGAUGGUCGCCGCCGUGUAGGCACCGGAUCAAGAGUACCAGACACCGCCGAAACUCCAGCCUCACGAGCCCUUCGUUGCCGUUCUCCACUGCGAGCAGAAGCCUCCAGGCUCGUACGUCACCGCCGUGGCUUCAAGGCCAAUUUCUGGCCUCCUCUGACAUCGUCUCAGGCGAAGGGUACCGUGGGUGAACUCAGGGUAUCAAGACGAACAAAGCCCAUCCAAGGAUCGGGAUUUUAAGUGACCGAAGGAGACGGAAUCAGCUCUCCAUUUGCUGCUUGUAGUCUUCUUCUCGAGACCAGGUUCUAAAUGUCAUGUUCAUCCACAUGAGAGGGGUAUAGUUGAUUUCCACCCUAUAUAUUGGAUCUAUGAAACCAAUUACUUAUGCGGUUCCAUAUAAUUAACGACAGUUGACCAAUCAAGAUUUAGAAGGACUCGAGUUACUGAGGGUGGUAUGAUUCUUUUUGCAGCCAUCAUUGUUGUGCCUGCUCUUAUUAUGACUUUUAUUUGUGAAUGUGUUUUGAUUAUUAGGAAAGAUCUCCUUUUGAAAAGCGUUCUCUCAUAUAUACAUAUAUAUAAAUAUAUAUAGGCAUGUGUUCUAUUCAGAUAAAUUUGAACCAUCUAAGAUUACUACUAAGCACACCCAAAGCUUCACCCUAUCAACCCAAGACCUUUAAUUAUAGGCACACCCUAUAACCAUUUAAUCUUGGUUGUAUGUAGUACAAGAAAUGACCCACCAGUCACAUCUACAAUUGGCUAACCAACAUAAUUAAUUGUUACAUCAUAUAAGAGGGAUCAUAGAAUAUAUAUUUAUAUAUAUUGAUUGUUGUACGUUCAUUUGGCUUUGAUCAACAGUAGCAGUUUUAUAAGCUUAGGACACACAAUUACACAGGUAAUCCUUGAAUUAAGGUACUGUAUCAACUUGCAUUUAUUAUGAUUCUUGAACCAUUUUUCCCUCCAUUAACUGAGUGAUGUAGAUUGAUGGUCAUGGAGAUUAAUUGUCAUUGGAAGCCUACUUUUUUCUGUAAAUUUCUACAAAAUUUACUAUGAAAUGUAUUGUUAUGAACUUAUGGCAUAUACUAUGGUGGAAGUUCAGUACAUUUCAAGGAGCUGUAACUAUGUCUGGUGUGGUAGGGUGUUAAGUCUUUGUAUUGCUGUUUAUUUCUCUGUUCCGUUAGUCUUUGUAUUCUGUUAGUUCACUUUCUUUUCAGUGUAAUUCCCAGGUGUAGGUCCGGGUGUAUUUUGUCUGUUCUAGUUCUUGUUGGCUGGUUCAGAUAUCUCUGUUGUGUUAUUAAUAUAUUUGGUUGCUAUGUUUGGCACCAGUUAUUAAAAACAAAAAAGAUAUCUAAACUCUACUACUGAUCAUGUGAUUCUAGUUUUUUUUCCUGUAUCCAAGAUACAAGAAUUGUUAACUGAGUUGUGAUGAGUAAACUUUAUUUAAUUGGAGUUUCUCAUUGGCAGUUGAAACUUUAUUUAGUCUUUCUUCACUCUAUUAUUCAUCAUGGUUUUUGUAAGUGUUGAUGAUUUUUAAUUUAGAAAAUAAUUAAUUUUGCUCUGUGAUUCCAUGGUAAAAAUUCUUCUUCGUGUAUGACUUGUUUUUUUUUUUAUCGUUUAAGAAUAAAAAGGCUACUUUUAAUGGCCAAUUCAAUUUCGUCUUGUGGGCAAUGUUUCUUUAUAAUAAUAUAUCUUGUUAUAUAUAAAAUUGGCUCGUUGAUAGCAGAAGUAUCAUAUAUAUUUUUUUUCUCAUUAGACUCUACAUAAUGUUUAACUCUGUUGUGAUUAUAGUUUUAGGAACCAACCAAUAAAUGUAAAACCAAUGGUAUAAUACCAUCUCUUGUGUUUUUGCAAUUGUUUUAUCUUUUGGGCCAUUAAAUCUAACAGCCCAUUCAUGAUAUAUAUAUGUAUGGUUUUUUUUUUUAACUCAAUUAGUUUUACUCAUCUGAAAUAUACAAAGUAUAAAUAAUAUGUAUGGCUUAUUCCAGACUUGAUCAUUGUACAUUAUCUCAAUUGAACUUACUUGUAUGUAGAUAUAUUCUGACAUGAGUGUGAAAAUUACCAAGUAGUUUAGUUGCCAAAUAUAAUCAGAAGACUUUUAUUUAGCAAGUUUUCUAGCAUGUGGAUUUUCAUGGAGUGCUUCAUCACAUUUUUUCCUUUGUUUUUUCAUAUAAUCUUAACAUUUGACCGUCUAAUUAACAAUUAAGUUGAUUAUAGAAUUUUAAAUAACAUGACUUGGAGUAAUAACAUGAUAUGGAACAUACAUCUAACUUUUUUAUUUUUUAUAAUGUUGAUAAUAAUGUUUAGGUUAAUAUUUUGACUGGUCUUAAAGCAUUGGAUCGGUAGCUAAUUGCAAGAGGGAUGAUUUUAGAAAGAAAUUCAUGGCAGUCAAUCCUUACUUUAGAAAGACAGUGACGAGGGUGAGUACAAGGACAAGAAGAAAGAAGAAAUAUAUAUAUGUAGUUUGACAAUGAAUUUAGUGUUUUAUUAUAUUUGUAAUUUUUAUUAGAGUAAAUGAUUCUUGUUUGAAUGGUGAAUUAUUUACUUUGUAAAUAUAGUUAUAUAUUUUUCAAGGUCAA